rnacentral:rRNA from 1 species
GACGAACGCUGGCGGCGUGCUUAACACAUGCAAGUCGAACGGAAAGGCCCUGCUUUUGUGGGGUGCUCGAGUGGCGAACGGGUGAGUAACACGUGAGUAACCUGCCCUUGACUUUGGGAUAACUUCAGGAAACUGGGGCUAAUACCGGAUAGGAGCUCCUGCUGCAUGGUGGGGGUUGGAAAGUUUCGGCGGUUGGGGCUGGUCUCGAGGCUUAUCAGCUUGUUGGUGGGGUAGUUGCUUACCAAGGCUUUGACGGGUAGGCCGCCUGGGAGGGUGAACGGGCACCAGGGUACUGCGGUACGGCGCAGUCUCCUACGGGAGGCAGUAGUCGGGAACUUUGCACAAUGGCCGGAAGCCUGAUGCAGAGACGCCGCGUGCGGGAUGACCGCCUUCGGGGUAUAAACCGCUUUCGCCUGUGACGAAGCGGGAGUGACGGUAAUGGGUAAAGAAGCACCGGCUAACUACGUG